rnacentral:rRNA from 1 species
AUACGUAGGUGACAAGCGUUAUCCGGAUUUACUGGGCGUAAAGGGCGUGUAGGCGGUCUUGCAAGUCAGAAGUGAAAUUCCUGAGCUCAACUCGGGCGCUGCUUCUGAAACUGCAGGACUUGAGUGCUGGAGGGGAUAGCGGAAUUCCUAGUGGAGCGGUAAAAUGCGCAGAUAUUAGGAAGAACACCGGUGGCGAAGGCGACUACCUGGACAGUACCGGACGCUGAGGCGCGAAAGCGUUGGGAGCAGACAGGAUGAGAUCCCCUGGUAAUCCACGCCGUAAACUAUGAAUACUAGGUGUAGGGGGUAUCGACUCCCUCUGUGCCGCAGUUAACACAAUAAGUAUUCCGCCUGGGGAGUACGGCCGCAAGGUUGAAACUCAAAGGAAUUGACGGGG